UACAGAGGUGCUAAGCGUUGUUCGGAUUUAUUGGGCGUAAAGAGCGUGUAGGCGGCCGUACAGGUCAGCUGUGAAAACUCGAGGCUCAACCUCGAGACGUCGGUUGAAACCGUACGGCUAGAGUCCGGAAGAGGAGAGUGGAAUUCCCGGUGUAGCGGUGAAAUGCGCAGAUAUCGGGAAGAACACCCGUGGCGAAGGCGGCUCUCUGGGACGGUACUGACGCUGAGACGCGAAAGCGUGGGGAGCGAACAGG
rnacentral:rRNA from 1 species